UUUAUAUGCUUUGUCUUUGGCAAUUUUUUGAUAAAAAGGGGGAGAGCAAUGAUGAACAGGUAUUGAUCGUAGUAAAGGAGAAGAAGGAAUAAAGAAUAAAGGAGAAGAAGGAAUAAAGAACAAAAGGGGAGAAGGAGUGAAAUUCCGAGGAGAAGAAGGAAUGAAAUUUUGAGAACAAUGAAUGUAAGAAUGUCCAUUGAUCUCAACUUUCUAUAUCAUUUGGGAUGAAUUGUUUUGCAGAAAAUCAAGACUUCAAGACUCCUAGUUGCGUCUAAGUCAUAGAGCUGUUGUAGGAGUUUUUGAUGUACUUUUGAGUUUCAAAUUGUAUUUGGACUAUAUGCGAGGAGUUCAAUAUUUUGGUGAUGACAAUUGAACUUCGAUUCUUAUUAUGUAAUUUUGAGUUUGUGAGUUUUGUCACGAAAUUGCGAAAGGGGGAGAUUGUUAAGUCUUGUGUGUUGGCAUGUUUCGUGAAGUGCGUCGGAGUCCUGAAGGAUCGGUGCAUAUCGUCGAAGAUCGAAGAAUCCAAAACUUCGAAGAAAGCGAAAU
rnacentral:lncRNA from 1 species